rnacentral:misc_RNA from 1 species
UGGUUCUGGCAUNGAUGAAGAACGCAGCGAAAUGCGAUAAGUAAUGUGAAUUGCAGAAUUCAGUGAAUCAUCGAAUCUUUGAACGCACAUUGCGCCCAUUAGUAUUCUAGUGGGCAUGCCUGUUCGAGCGUCAUUUCAACCCUUAAGCCCUCGUUGCUUAGCGUUGGGAGCCUACAAGCACUGUAGCUCCCCAAAGUUAGUGGCGGAGUCGGUUCACACCCCAGACGUAGUAAGAUUUCACCUCGCCUGUAGUUGGACCGGUCCCCUGCCGUAAAACACAUAAUUUUCUCAAGGUUGACCUCGGAUCAGGUAGGAAUACCCGCUGA